UACGUAGGGUGCAAGCGUUGUCCGGAAUUAUUGGGCGUAAAGAGCGUGUAGGCGGCCCGAUUAGUCCGCUGUGAAAGUCCAGGGCUCAACCCUGGAAUGCCGGUGGAUACUGUCGGGCUAGAGUCCGGAAGGGCGAGUGGAAUUCCUGGUGUAGCGGUGAAAUGCGCAGAUAUCAGGAGGAACACCAAUGGCGAAGGCAGCUCGCUGGGACGUGACUGACGCUGAGACGCGAAAGCGUGGGGAGCAAACAGG
rnacentral:rRNA from 1 species